UACGUAGGGUGCGAGCGUUAAUCGGAAUUACUGGGCGUAAAGCGUGCGCAGGCGGUGCUGUAAGACCGAUGUGAAAUCCCCGGGCUUAACCUGGGAACUGCAUUUGUGACUGCAUGGCUGGAGUGCGGCAGAGGGGGAUGGAAUUCCGCGUGUAGCAGUGAAAUGCGUAGAUAUGCGGAGGAACACCGAUGGCGAAGGCAAUCCCCUGGGCCUGCACUGACGCUCAUGCACGAAAGCGUGGGGAGC
rnacentral:rRNA from 1 species